rnacentral:rRNA from 1 species
GGAGGAUCCAAGCGUUAUCCGGAGUUAUUGGGUUUAAAGGGUCCGUAGGUGGAUAAUUAAGUCAGAGGUGAAAUCCUGCAGCUUAACUGUAGAAUUGCCUUUGAUACUGGUUAUCUUGAGUUAUUAUGAAGUGAUUAGAAUGUGUAGUGUAGCGGUGAAAUGCAUAGAUAUUACACAGAAUACCAAUUGCGAAGGCAGGUCACUAAUAAUCAACUGACACUGAGGGACGAAAGCGUGGGUAGCGAACAGGAUUAGAUACCCUGGUAGUCCACGCCGUAAACGAUGGUCACUAGCUGUUUGGACUUCGGUCUGAGUGGCUAAGCGAAAGUGAUAAGUGACCACCUGGGGAGUACGUUCGCAAGAAUGAAACUCAAAGGAAUUGACGGGGGCCCGCACAAGCGGUGGAGCAUGUGGUUUAAUUCGAUGAUACGCGAGGAACCUUACCAGGGCUUAAAUGUUUGGUGACAGAUCUAGAAAUAGGUUUUUCUUCGGACACUAAACAAGGUGCUGCAUGGUUGUCGUCAACUCGUGCCGUGAGGUGUCAGGUAAAGUCCUAUAACGAGCGCAACCCCUGUUGUUAGUUGCCA